rnacentral:rRNA from 1 species
CCUACGGGAGGCAGCAGUGAGGAAUAUUGGUCAAUGGACGGAAGUCUGACCCAGCAACGCCGCGUGCAGGAAGACGGCUCUCUGAGUUGUAAACUGCUUUUGUACAAGGGUAAACCUGAAUACGUGUAUUCAGCUGAAAGUCCUCUACGAAUAAGGAUCGGCUAACUCCGUGCCAGCAGCCGCGGUAAUACGGAGGAUCCACGCGUUAUCCGGAUUUAUUGGGUUUAAAGGGUGCGUAGGCGGAUUGAUAAGUUAGAGGUGAAAUGUCCGAGCUUAACUCGGGAACUGCCUCUAAUACUGUUGGUCUAGAGUGUAGAUGCGGGAGGCGGAAUGUAUGGUGUAGCGGUGAAAUGCUUAGAGAUCAGAGAGAACACCGAUUGCGAAGGCAGCUUACCAAUCUAUAUCUGACGUUGAGGCACGAAAGCGUGGGGAGCAAACAGGAUUAGAUACCCGAGUAGUC